rnacentral:lncRNA from 1 species
CAAUAGAUUAGAUUGAAAUUCUCGUCUAUUCUCUCUCUAACUCUGUGUGCUUACAGUUUACGCUUUAUAUUAUUCGACUGUUUCGCCCUAUCAAGGUAUUUCUCUGUUCCUCUUAAAAUUCUUUAAUCAUAAAUGGUUUAAUUCUUUUUUCUUUUUAUUUUUUUAAUUUGAUUUUCUAGAUUGCUGUUUCUAUUUUAUUUUAUUAUUUCUUCCGUACUGGGUUUUACUGAUUUUCGGCUUGUACACGAUGUGUUGUCUGUAAUUUAUUUAUUUGAUUUAGUAAUUGUUUAUCGAUUCCUUCUGAUAUUGUUUGAUUAGCGAUGGAUUAAAAUUUUAGAAACUAUUGUUGGGAUUUUGAUUUUAUAUAUAUAUAUGUGUGUGUGUGUGUGUAUAUAUAUAUAUAUAUAUAUAUAUAUAUAUCGAUAGUGUAGUCAUUUACCUUUAGUGAAAAAAGUACUCGCGACGAGGGGAUUUUUUUUCUAUUUUAAGAAAAAGAAAAUCUUACGAAUAUCAUGUUCCGUGAAUAGCGGGGACAUUGAAAAAUAUCCCGAAAGGUAAAUUAACGCCCUAAAUGGUGAAACAUUUUCUUUCAUUUUUGAGGUCUCUUUCCAUUUCUUAGUAAGAAUGGAAUUGACGUGAGGGGGUAGGGAUGGCUAUAUUUUUUAGAGAACACUCCGGGCGACUUUAUAAACUAAUAAUUAGAUUAGAUGGUAAUGAUCGACUGAACAAUAUAUAAUUAUUGGAAUUUAAAUAAUAUAUAUCCAGUCGAUUCCCUAUGGUAGCUAGGAAAAGUAUUGAGACUUAAUUACAAUUACUAUAAAAAGUUUUGGGUUUAAUUAGAAUUAAUGUAAAAUUUUCAACUCAAUUGUAAAUGUUAUGAAAGUUUUAAACUUAAUUAUAUUUGUAAUUGAAGUUUUAGUGCUAUACUCCGCCAUUAAAUAAGUUACGUACUAAUUGAACUUCAAUUGAAACUCCCAUUUUGAUUUCAAUCGGAAUUCUUGGGCUUCUUUUGGAGUUCUUAUUGCACAUGAAUUCUUAACUCCUUUAUAUCUAUAAAAAUAGAGAUUGGAUAGAACAAAAAGAUAAAAUAAUAAUAAUAACAACAACAACAACAACAACAAAUCUUUUUCAAUGUUUGAAUUUAGAGAGUGAAAAGAGAGAGAGAAAAAAAUGUUUUCUUCUUUUUAUCAUUUGUCGAGUUCAAAAUUGAUUUCUUGAUUUAAUUUGAAUAAGAUAACCACGUACCACUGUAGUCUUGCUUUUGAAAAUUUCCAUAGAAGGUAGUGAUUAAGAUUCAAUUUAAGAAUUAAUCAUCGAAUCUAAGUAAUAUUCAAAUUCUUUAUUUAUUUAUUUAUUUAUUAUAAUAUACACGUGAACAUUUAUACAAUUUUGAAUUUUCAUUUUUUUUGAAUAAUUAUUGUCCCACAUUCUAAAUAGACUAUCUCUAUGAGACUCUUUAAAUAUGAGAUACUCUCUAUUUUAAUAAGUCAACUGUUGAAAUCAUACUUCAAGAUACUCUUUAAAGGUUUGGCUCUCCAAACUUGAUUUCUAUAAUUAAAUGCAUUCAAAGUGUUUCAAUUUUUAAUGUAGGAAAAUAAUAAAGUAAUCUCGAGAAAAGCUAAUUAAAAAAAAAGAUAAAGAAAAAUAAUAAAUAUUUUUUGAAAGUAAUAAAAUUAACUGUUAAAUAUAAAGAAUUUAUUGAAGUAUUUCAAAAUUUUAACUCUUUAAAUUUAUAGAUGCUCUUUAAAUUAUAGAAUAUGCUCUUUAAAAAUAGGAUAAUUAGCAAAAAACAUCCAUAUCAUUUGUACUCAUUACGAAAAAUGGUCCCUAUCGUUUUGAACUUGCUAUUUACACCCUCAUUUCAAACAUUUCAUGCAGAAUAUAUCAUUUUCGUCAUAUUCCGUUAAGUCAUUCCGUUAAAUAUAUGUAAUUUAAUGUAAAAGGUCCCUACUGUUUGUUGUAAUUGCACAAAUAGUCCAUAUCAUUUCAAUUUUGACAUUUGGAUAUUCAGAUCGACAUUUAUUUACUUAAAAGGUUGUUGCGUCCAUUUUUUCUAUUAUAACAUCAUGAAAUGAUUAAUUUAUCAUCAUUUUAAAUAAAUAAAUCUAAAAAAGAAAUAAUAUAAAAAAAUUGUAUCUAGAGUUUCUAAUAUUUUUUAAAAGUUAAAAACAAAUCUCACAUAUAAAAACUUAAAACAUUCUAAUAAAAAAAUAUUUUAUAUUCUCAAAUAACCCACCUGUCCCUACCCGUACGCCUAUCCUCCACCACCAAAAUAAUUAAAAAGAGAAUUAAAAGUAUAAAAAACUAUUUGACGAGGAAUAAACACCAUUUUGUUUUUAUAAAUUUUUUUAACUUUUAUUUUAUACUGCUAAUUAUCUCUUUAAUUAAUUUUGCUGUGGUGGUGGUGGAGUAUAGGGGAUGAGCGUAGAGUAUGUGGGUUAAUUGAGAAGAUGAAAUGUUUUUGUUUAUUAGAAUGUUUUAAUUAUUUUUCUGAGACUCGUUUGUACUUUUAAAAAAACUUUAGAAAACUUUAGAUACAAUUUGAUUAUAUUAUUUCUAUUUGGUUAUUUAAAUAUGAUGAGAAAUUAGUCAUUUCAUAAUGUUAUAAUGGAAAAAAUGGCCGCAAUGACCUUUUAAACAAAGUAAUGUCGAUCUGAAUAUUCAAAUGUAAAAAUUGAAAUGAUAUAGACUAUUUGCGCAAUUACAACAAAUAAUGGGGACCUUGUACAUCAAAUUACACAUAUUUAACAGAUGGAUUUAACGAAAUACGAAGGAAAUGACUAAUUCUGCAAGAAAGGUUUGAAAUGAAGGUGUAAAUAGCAGGUUCAAAACGAUAAGAACCAUUUUCGCAAUGAAUACAAACGAUAGAAUUUUUUUUUCUAAUUACCCUUAAAAAUAGAUAGUCUCUUGAAAAUGCUUUAAAUUAUCAUACAACAUAGCAUAUAUAAAUUUAAUAUAGCACGAGAAAGUAAAACACGAGAAACACAAUCGUAAUUAGAGGUUUAGACAUGACAUUUUCUCUUUUUCUUUUUCCUUUUUCAAGGGUGCAAACUUGUAAUAUAUAUGUUCUUUCUUUGUAAUUUUGCAUUUAGCAAAUUUUCCAUUCUAAUGGCGUUUGAACUCCGUAUUAAUGCAUGGUAACGGUCCUCUUGAAGAAGGGCUACGUUAAUAUUUUGGUUCGAUUUACUUUAUUUUAAAUUUUAAAGAUAAUAGUAUCUUCAAUCGUGGUGUAAAAUUAAGUGUAAAUUAAUAUAUUCAAAUUUAUUCUUUCAUCUCGAUAGAUCUAAAUUCAAGUGAAGUUGGUCAGAUUUUCGACUACUUUGAAAAUCUAAAUUAUAAUUUAAUUCUAUUUUAUACUACGAUUAGAGAUGCUUUAAAACUCAUAGAUACGUUCGCUUCAAAUCAAGCUAUGGUUUAACAAGUCGGCUUCGAUGACCUAUUCAUUUUUAACAAGUCAGCCAUAAUAAUAUGAGCAAAUGUCACGCUUUAUGGUAAAAGUUAAAAAGAUUAAGCCCUUGUUUGUCAUUCAUUAUUUUACAUUCUAUCAUAUUAUUUUUUUAAUAAUAUUCAUUUUCAACUGCACAUUCUUCAUUAAAAUAAUAUUACACGUAAAUAAAAAAAAUUCAUUUUUUCUAAUCACAUAUUUUUCAUCAAUCUAUUAUUCCAUAAUACGUUUUUCAAAAUUAAAGGGCUGAAACACAUCCUAAAUUGCAUGAUCUUUUAGCAAUUUUAUGAACGAGAAAUAGAACAAUUUUAUGAAAAUCUACUAGCAAUUUGAUUUCAAUCUCUGUCAAACAGAGCUAUGUCAAUAAUUUUUUUUAUUUAUUUAUUUUUUUCUCUAGAGGUGAGGUUAAUCAAAUUAUUUUCUUUCCUUAUAAAAGACAAAGAAAAAUAUGUAUGGUCAGCAAGCUUUUAAGAAAAAUUAUAAACCGACAACUGUUGAAUUUCAUUUAUAAAUUAAAAUGAAGAUUGUGGCAAUAGAUUAGAUUGAAAUUCUCGUCUAUUCUCUCUCUAACUCUGUGUGCUUACAGUUUACGCUUUAUAUUAUUCGACUGUUUCGCCCUAUCAAGGUAUUUCUCUGUUCCUCUUAAAAUUCUUUAAUCAUAAAUGGUUUAAUUCUUUUUUCUUUUUAUUUUUGUAAUUUGAUUUUCUAGAUUGCUGUUUCUAUUUUAUUUUAUUAUUUCUUCCGUACUGGGUUUUACUGAUUUUCGGCUUGUACACGAUGUGUUGUCUGUAAUUUAUUUAUUUGAUUUAGUAAUUGUUUAUCGAUUCCUUCUGAUAUUGUUUGAUUAGCGAUGGAUUAAAAUUUUAGAAACUAUUGUUGGGAUUUUGAUUUUAUAUAUAUAUAUGAUGCACGUGCUUGAUGAAUUUUCUAUGAAAUGAUUUUCUUUUAAUUGUUUUUUUUAACACGUGCACAUAUAAUUGUUUUCUAUUGGGUUAUGUAUCGAGAAUGGGAGCAACAAACUAUUUGGGUGUUUCAUAGCUUAAUAGUUAAUAUAAUCUGUUGGGAAAUUUGUAAGGCGUGAUGAAACCAAACUGUAGCAGAUCAUCAAAAAAGAAACUAUUCUUCUUUUUAUGAAAAGAAUAAACUUGGAAAAUUUAAGGGUUUCCUAAUUUAAGCGGAGCUGAGUUUUUUCCUAAAAUUUCUUUAGAUGUUUUGAUUCUAAAGCAUAGCCCAGGAAAUAAAAAUGAUGGAUGUACUGAAUCUUUUGCCAUGAGGCGAUGUUUAAAUGUGGAUUCGUGUGAAUGUUGUUCUUGCUUGUGGACGUUGAGUGAAUUUGGUGGCUGUAGAUAUCCGUUUCAAUGAUGAUUGGAAAGCAAAAUUUCAUGAUUCUAUUUGUUGAGAAUUUACUAGAGUUAUCUGUGUUGAUUUUGUCAAUGAUAAUUACGCCCUGUUUGAUGGCCAUUAUUUGGAAAAACAAUGUUUUGAAUAGUGAUUUUUAGAACUUAAAAAGUAGAUUUUUUAAUGUGUGAAUGUUUGGUUGGAAAUGAGUAUGUAGAAAAAGGAGUUUUCAGUAAUGACUAUCAAACAAGGGUUGUGUUUUCUCAUUUGUUAGUUUUGGUGGUCUUCCCAAAUAUCAUGGUAUUGUUUGUCAUGCUAGUCUUGUAUUAUUUCGUGCUUGAAUGGAAGUGAUUUUUUUAUGAGUGAUUUUUUCGGAGAUUGUAGUGUUAAAUAGUAGGGAAAAGUUAUGGAAAAAUGUGAAAAUGAUUUCUUUUGGAUAGUUGUGAUUGAGCAUGGAGAAAAGUGAUUUUCAAAAAUUCACUUUCACACAAGCACUUAUUGUCUGUGAGAUUUCUAUUGUUUUUAGGUUUCUAGGAACAUGUUUGGUAUAGAUUAAAAUAUGAUUUUAAUCGAAGUCAAAGUCAAACAAUCAAUAUUAACCACAUUUUUCAUGGGUCCCACAACUUUUCAACUACGCAUUUCAAAAACUUCUAUCAUAUCACAAUUUACUAAAAAAUCUAAUUUUAAUCCCUACCAAACACUCUCUAGACAAGUAGUCAAUUAGCGUUGAGAAUUUUUUUUUUUUGAAAUGGUGUUCGAACUGGAUGGUUAGUCAAAUAAGGGCUCAAAAUAGGAUAUAAGGGCUAACAACAGGAUAUUAGUCUAAUAAGGCUUAAAACAGAAUAUUGCCUCAGAGAUAUGGAGAUGAAUUAGUUCAUGAAUACAACCUUUUACCUAUCUACAUGUGUAUUGUUAAAAUUUAAAACAUUGAUAUAUGAAAAAGUUCCUUUAAUUUCUUGCUUUGAGUCUUAACAGUAAAAACUUUAAGCAUUUCUAUCACAAUUGAAUUCACUCUCGUCUUCUAGAUUGUGUACUUUUUAUAGUACAUUCGUGUCAUGGCGUAAUAUCUGUCGUGUUUUUAUCUUCGAAUCUUCACAUAAUUAUGUCGUGCAUUGCAUCUCAUGACUUCUCAUGGAUUCUCUGAGUUUGAGAAUUCUCAGUUCUGAUGAGGCUUUUAUUGGAAAUUCAAAAUGCACUACUUGGAUGGCUCUAUUAAUUAACUCAAUCGUCAUUAUCAUGAUGUCCAAGGGAUAUGACUGAAAUCUUUUGCGACGGGAAAAGUCAUUGCCAAUGUUUGUCUUUAAUGGCUCAAGUUAUUUGACUUGAUCGGUUAUAUAUAUCUCUGUCCCCUUCACAGUAGGGUAGUAUUUUUUUUCCCUCACCUUCCCUUCUAUUUUACUUCAUUUCGUGUAUUUUGGUUUUUUUUUUUUUUUU